UCUCCAGGAAAGUAUGUUUCCAAAGUGUUC
rnacentral:piRNA from 1 species